GAUGAACGCUGGCGGCGUGCUUAACACAUGCAAGUCGAACGAGAAGUGAAGACGGAAACCUUCGGGCGGAAGGCUUUAUUUCGAGUGGCGGACGGGUGAGUAACGCGUGGGUAACCUGCCUCAUACAGGGGGAUAACAGUUGGAAACGACUGUUAAUACCGCAUAAGACCACAGCACCGCAUGGUGCGGGGGUAAAAACUCCGGUGGUAUGAGAUGGACCCGCGUUCGAUUAGCCAGUUGGCGGGGUAACGGCCCACCCAAGCGACGAUCGAUAGCCGAUCUGAGAGGAUGACCGGCCACAUUGGGACUGAGACACGGCCCAAACUCCUACGGGAGGCAGCAGUGGGGAAUAUUGCACAAUGGGGGAAACCCUGAUGCAGCGACGCCGCGUGAGUGAAGAAGUAUUUCGGUAUGUAAAGCUCUAUCAGCAGGGAAGAAAAUGACGGUACCUGAGUAAGAAGCCCCGGCUAACUACGUG
rnacentral:rRNA from 1 species